ACUCCUACGGGAGGCAGCAGUGGGGAAUAUUGCACAAUGGGGAAGCCCAUCGAUGCAGCCAUGCCGCGUGUGUGAAGAAGGCCAUUCGGGUUGGUAAAGACACUUUCAGUCGUGAGGAAGGUAGUGUAGUUAAUAGCUGCAUUAUUUGACGUUAGCGACAGAAGAAGCACCGGCUAACUCCGUGCCAGCAGCCGCGGUAAUACGGAGGGUGCGAGCGUUAAUCGGAAUUACUGGGCGUAAAGCGCAUGCAGGUGGUUUGUUAAGUCAGAUGUGAAAGCCCGGGCUCAAGCCUC
rnacentral:rRNA from 1 species